UACGAAGGGGGCUAGCGUUGCUCGGUAUCACUGGGCGUAAAGCGCACGUAGGCGGAUUGCUAAGUCAGGGGUGAAAUCCUGGAGCUCAACUCCAGAACUGCCUUUGAUACUGAAGAUCUUGAGUUCGGGAGAGGUGAGUGGAACUGCGAGUGUAGAGGUGAAAUUCGUAGAUAUUCGCAAGAACACCAGUGGCGAAGGCGGCUCACUGGCCCGAUACUGACGCUGAGGCACGAAAGCGUGGGGAGCAAACAGG
rnacentral:rRNA from 1 species